rnacentral:rRNA from 1 species
AACGAACGCUGGCGGCAUGCCUAACACAUGCAAGUCGAACGAAGCCUUCGGGCUUAGUGGCGCACGGGUGCGUAACGCGUGGGAAUCUGCCCUUAGGUACGGAAUAACUCAGGGAAACUUGUGCUAAUACCGUAUGAUGUCGAGAGACCAAAGAUUUAUCGCCUAGGGAUGAGCCCGCGUAGGAUUAGCUAGUUGGUGGGGUAAAGGCCUACCAAGGCGACGAUCCUUAGCUGGUCUGAGAGGAUGAUCAGCCACACUGGGACUGAGACACGGCCCAGACUCCUACGGGAGGCAGCAGUGGGGAAUAUUGGACAAUGGGCGAAAGCCUGAUCCAGCAAUGCCGCGUGAGUGAAGAAGGCCUCGG